rnacentral:rRNA from 1 species
AGAAAUCAACCGAGAUUCCCCCAGUAGCGGCGAGCGAACGGGGAGCAGCCCAGAGCCUGAAUCAGUGUGUGUGUUAGUGGAAGCGUCUGGAAAGGCGCGCGAUACAGGGUGACAGCCCCGUACACAAAAAUGCACAUGCUGUGAGCUCGAUGAGUAGGGCGGGACACGUGGUAUCCUGUCUGAAUAUGGGGGGACCAUCCUCCAAGGCUAAAUACUCCUGACUGACCGAUAGUGAACCAGUACCGUGAGGGAAAGGCGAAAAGAACCCCGGCGAGGGGAGUGAAAAAGAACCUGAAACCGUGUACGUACAAGCAGUGGGAGCACGCUUAGGCGUGUGACUGCGUACCUUUUGUAUAAUGGGUCAGCGACUUAUAUUCUGUAGCAAGGUUAACCGAAUAGGGGAGCCGAAGGGAAACCGAGUCUUAACUGGGCGUUAAGUUGCAGGGUAUAGACCCGAAACCCGGUGAUCUAGCCAUGGGCAGGUUGAAGGUUGGGUAACACUAACUGGAGGACCGAACCGACUAAUGUUGAAAAAUUAGCGGAUGACUUGUGGCUG